rnacentral:rRNA from 1 species
UACGUAAAAGACUAGUGUUAUUCAUCUUUAAUAGGUUUAAAGGGUACCUAGACGGUAUUAUUAGCCCUAAUAGGGUACGAUUUUACUAGAGUUUUAUAUGAGAAGGAAGUAUUUAUGGAGGAGAGAUAAAAUUUCAUUAUACCUUAAAGACUGGUAAGGGCGAAAGCAGCCUUCUAUCUAAUAACUGACGUUGAGGGACGAAGGCCUGGGUAGCAAACAGG